CCUGUAGCCCAACUGGUAGAACAUGGGAGUGACGCGGGGAUAGAGGGUCGUGGGUUCGAUUCCCACCGGGGAUCGCCA